rnacentral:rRNA from 1 species
GAUGAACGCUGGCGGCGUGCCUAAUACAUGCAAGUCGAGCGAACGGACGAGAAGCUUGCUUUUCUGAUGUUAGCGGCGGACGGGUGAGUAACACGUGGAUAACCUACCUAUAAGACUGGGAUAACUUCGGGAAACCGGAGCUAAUACCGGAUAAUAUUUUGAACCGCAUGGUUCAAAAGUGAAAGACGGUCUUGCUGUCACUUAUAGAUGGAUCCGCGCUGCAUUAGCUAGUUGGUAAGGUAACGGCUUACCAAGGCAACGAUGCAUAGCCGACCUGAGAGGGUGAUCGGCCACACUGGAACUGAGACACGGCCCAGACUCCUACGGGAGGCAGCAGUAGGGAAUCUUCCGCAAUGGGCGAAAGCCUGACGGAGCAACGCCGCGUGAGUGAUGAAGGUCUUCGGAUCGUAAAACUCUGUUAUUAGGGAAGAACAUAUGUGUAAGUAACUGUGCACAUCUUGACGGUACCUAAUCAGAAAGCCACGGCUAACUACGUG